AAUGAACGCUGGCGGCGUGCCUAACACAUGCAAGUCGAACGGUAACAGGAGAGGAGCUUGCUUCUCUUGCUGACGAGUGGCAGACGGGUGAGUAACGCGUGGGUAACCUACCUUAGAGUGGGGGAUAACUUCUCGAAAGGGAAGCUAAUACCGCAUAAUACUUUAGAUACGAGAGUGUUUAAGGUCAAAGCCUGGGAUCUUCGGACCAGGUGCUUAGAGAGGGACUCGCGUCAGAUUAGCUAGUUGGUGGGGUAAAGGCUCACCAAGGCGACGAUCUGUAGCCGGCCUGAGAGGGUGAUCGGCCACACUGGAACUGAGACACGGUCCAGACUCCUACGGGAGGCAGCAGUGGGGAAUUUUGCGCAAUGGGGGAAACCCUGACGCAGCAACGCCGCGUGGGUGAAGAAGCAUCUUGGUGUGUAAAGCCCUGUCAUCGGGGAAUAAGGUUAAUCGAUUAAGAGUUGAUUGACUUGAAUGUACUCGAAGAGGAAGCCCCGGCUAACUCCGUGCCAGCAGCCGCGGUAAUACGGAGGGGGCUAGCGUUAUUCGGAAUUACUGGGCGUAAAGGGCGCGUAGGCGGCUUUUUAAGUGAGAAGUGAAAUCCCACGGCUCAACCGUGGAACGGCUUCUCAUACUG
rnacentral:rRNA from 1 species